AUCGGCCUUGAAAGCAAAAGAAGGGAAGAAAGGAGAAAAAAGAAAAGAGAAAGGAGGAAGAAGAAAACAAGUUGGAGGAGGCUCAAUUUUGGGAAAGAUUGGAGAAAAAUCGAAAGGUUUUCUCUUGCAUGCCAUUGUUGGAGGUUGAAGGACGAAGUGGUGGUUCGGCCUAGUGAUUCCAAGCAAGAAUCUACAAGGAUCCAAAGAAUCUGGUGCAUGCAUGCGGCUUGUUCUUGAAAGUAUUGUGAGUUUAAGCAAGACAAAUAAUGGGAAGUUUGCAAGUGAGGAAGGUUUGCUGUGGUGGUGUACUGGAGGAGAUAACGGGUGACCGGCAAGUAAAAUUAGCUAGAGACGCACCCAAACCAAUAGCAAUGUAGUGUCCUAAUAUUGUGAGAUAAGUGAUCAACUCAAGUGUAUUGCCUAGUAUAUUAAGAUUUGCUGCGACGUAGGUAAUGGCAUCUCUUAGACUUCCACUCCGAGUCACUCUGCUGCAUAAGGGUCAUGUUGGGUAAAUAGUCAAACUUAUAAAAAUUAUUAGUUUAUCGAAAAUGUACUUGCUAAAACCUUGAGGUUGUGUAAUGGAUUCUAAGUGUGAUGUUGAAACUAUCUUGAAGUUGGUUAAACAUGGAUA